UCUGGGAUAGCUCAGCCGGUAUAGCAUGAGACUCUUAAUCUCAGAGCUGUGGGUUCUAGCCCCACAUUGGGCAAAA